GACGAGGGAUCCUAGCGUUGUUCGGAAUUAUUGGGCGUAAAGCGGGUGUAGGCGGAUUUAUAAGUCAGGCGUGAAAUCCCAGGGCUCAACCCUGGAAGUGCACUUGAUACUGUAAAUCUUGAGUGUGGUAGAGGCUAUUAGAAUUCCUGGUGUAGUGGUGAAAUACGUAGAUAUCAGGAGGAAUACCGGAGGCGAAGGCGGAUAGCUGGGCCAACACUGACGCUGAGCCCCGAAAGCGUGGGGAUCAAACAGG
rnacentral:rRNA from 1 species